UGGGGAAUAUUGGACAAUGGGGGGAACCCUGAUCCAGCCAUGCCGCGUGUGUGAAGAAGGCCUUAUGGUUGUAAAGCACUUUAAGCGAGGAGGAGGGUACUGGUAUUAAUACUACCAGGUACUGGACGUUACUCGCAGACUAAGCACCGGCUAACUCUGUGCCAGCAGCCGCGGUAAUACAGAGGGUGCGAGCGUUAAUCGGAUUUACUGGGCGUAAAGCGUGCGUAGGCGGCUAAUUGAGUCGGAUGUGAAAUCCCCGAGCUUAACUUGGGAAUUGCAUUCGAUACUGGUUAGCUAGAGUGUGGGAGAGGAUGGUAGAAUUCCAGGUGUAGCGGUGAAAUGCGUAGAGAUCUGGAGGAAUGCCGAUGGCGAAGGCAGCCAUCUGGCCUAACACAGACGCUGAGGUACGAAAGCAAGGGGAGCAAACAGG
rnacentral:rRNA from 1 species